rnacentral:lncRNA from 10 species
GCUCCAAGAAGGUGAGGCUGCUGGGAUGGGUGACUCCGCCGUCACUGCAAACACGGGACGUCCCGUCUACUCCCUUACGCCUGCUUGGUCUGAGCCCGAGUCUACCUCUUCUCUAAGUCGCCAGCUCGGCACUUGUACCCGGGACCUGUGCUCCUCCCACAAGAAAUUAAAUCAUUUUUGGGAAGCCCUCAAGGUACCAUAAGCUCUGGGCAGUGUGCCUAAGACUUCUAAUGGAGAAUUUAGCCCUGUGCAGAUGAUAUUGCAGAGGAGGAAUGCUUAGUUAAUUUAGGUAAAGUAUGCACAGUAAAUACAAUUUCAUAAAAAAGCUUAUAGUCUAUGGUGUUAUGUAAACAACUAUAGACAAAUAGAAUAUUGCUUUUAUUUGUUAUCCUGUGUUAAACUGUGGCCAAAAUUACACACAUCAGUGUUAGAAAAAUUGCAGUAUUGCAGGCUUGAAGUGGUCCCCUUGUUCAAAUUACUGGCCCCUGCUGAGUGCUGGAAUACCUUCAGGGCGAUGGAAAAUUGUGGCACUCUCUUUGAUUUUAGAUUUUGGGACCAAAGCUGGCUGAUCUUUUGAUGAGUCGGUCUUAAUGAUUUGCUCUUUUAGGCCUUAUUCAAGGAUACUGGGAACCUCACACUCUUCAGAAAAAAAAAAGUUUUCCUCCUGGCAGGCCUAUCAGUUCAGUUGAAUCAAUAUGUAUUAGGUACCUCCCAUAUAGCAGCCUGUGUGCUAGGUACAUGGGUAGAGAUUUAUUAAGAAGAAUGAAAUUCAAUCCCUUACUUAGGAGCUCACAGAUGUGCAUUAACAGAAAAAUUACAAUUCAAUCUAAUCAUUCUCAUGAGUCCCUAGUUCCAUUUGUAAUAGAAGGUCCAAGGAGCAUUUGAACUGUGACUCUCAGACCCUUACCUCUUACUCUGAACUCUCAACUUCAAUCAGCACAUGCUGUUUCUAGCAGCUCUCUUCUGUCUUGGAGUCCUCACUGAAGUCCUCUAGAGUAUGUCCCUAUUGUCCCUGAAAACUGAUGGUGCUGGCUUUUCCUUUCAAAGCCUUGUUUUAAUUCUAGAUUUAAAAUAGCACUAAUGCCACAAGAAGUCUCUUACACAAUGGUAGAGUUCUCUUUCCAUAGACUUUGGAACACUGUUCUUUUGGAAAUGUUUACAAUGACACUUAUAAGAACUGGCUAUAUAUAUAUUAAUCUGCUUUGUGGUGGAAAUAAAUAUUUUGUAGAAUGCUUUGAAGCUUAGGCAAUUAGUUCUUUUUAACAAAAAUUAAUUUAAUUUUCUUUUAAGUUCCAGGAUACCUGUGCAGGACAUGACAUGCAGGUUUGUCAUGUAGGUAAACAUGUGCCAUGGUGGUUUGCUGCACCUGUCGACCCAUCACCUAGAAGGAAAAAAUUGGACACGGAGAUAAGGACAGAGGAAAGAUGAUGUGAAGACAGGGGCAGAAGUCAGCCAUCUACAAGUCAAAGGGAGACAUGUGGAACAGAUUCACCCUCACAGCCCUCAGAUGGAAGCAACACCACUAACACUUUGCUCUUGGACUUCUAGCUUCCAGAACUGAGAGACAAUAUCUUUCUGUUGCUUAAGUCAUUCUGUCUGUGAUACUGUGUUUAUGGCAGCCCUGGCAAACUAAUACAGUCCCACAAAGAUUUGGUUGUUGCUUUGCAAGAGAAUGUAUAAUUCCUGGUUAUUUCUACAAAUAAGGGCAUUGACUUUAUAAAGCUACAAGUAUACCCCAGUAUUCUGUUUCUGGUUUUUGUUUACUUUCAUAUAUGCUAUCUUUUCAUUCCCAGGUGAAAUCAUAGUGCAUUUUAAAUGAUAUUUUAAAGAGCAAUUAUACUCGUCAUAUGUACUUCAAAUAAUACUGAUUCCUCAAUUGAAGUAAUGGUAACAUGAGUGUAUUAGUUAAUUUUUUCUGAAUAACUAGUUACCUCCAAAGUUCAUGCCUUCAAGCAACACAUAUUCAUUAUUUCACAGCUUCUUUGGGUCAGGAGUCUUGGCAUAGCUUAGCUGAGUCCUCUGGCUCCUGGCGUCCCAGGCUGUAAUCAAGGUGGUGGCCAGGACUGUAGUCAUGUCAGGGCUCGCCAGGGAAGGAUCUGCCUCCAAGCUAACCAGUGUGGCUUUUGGCAGAAUAUAUUUCUAUGCAGGUUGUUGGACUGAGUUUCUUGCUGGCUGUUCCAGAGGUUCCCUUAGCAUCUUGUCGUGUGGCCUCUUCAUAGGUCAAUUCAUAUUGGCUUCAUCAAAGUGAGCAGGUAAGAUAGCAAAAGAGAAUGCCCAAGAUAGAAGCCAUAGUCUUUUUGUAAUCUAAUCUUAGAAGUGACAGCCUGUUAUAUUUGCUAUAUUCUCUUUGUUAGAAACAAGUUUCUAGGGCUGGGCAUGGUGGCUCACAUCUGUAAUCCCAGCAUUUUGGGAGGCCGAGACAGGCAGAUCACCUGAGGUCAGGAGUUCGAGACCAGCCUGGCCAACAUGGCGAAAUCCUGUCUCUACUAAAAAUACAAAGCCGAGUGUGGUGGCGCAGGCCUGUAAUCCCAGCUACUUGGGAGGCUAAGGCAGGAGAAGCACUUGAACCUGGGUGGUGGAGGUUGCAGUGAGCCAAGAUUGUGCCACUGCACUCCAGCCUGGGUGACAGAGUGAGACUCCAUCUCAAAAAACAAACAAACAAAAAACCAAAUUACUAGGUUUGUCUCAUUCUCAAGGGAAGAGUUUACUCAAGAGAAUAAAUACCAGGAGGUUGGGAUCACUGGAGGCCAGUUUAGAGUCUGCCUACCAAUAGGAGCAAGGCCAUCAAUGUCAGUCAGUGACAUCAACAUCAUGUAGACUGCUUGGCCAACAGUAAUGCUAAAAUGCCAUCAAUCUUGAGAUCAUCUUCAUCUCAUAAAUAUUAACAUGUAAAAAAAGUCAUUUUAAAGUAAAGAAAAUAUGUUAUUUUUUAACAUUUGAAACAGCCCCUGAAGUCAUGUUUUAGAACAUUUUCUCAUCAUUUUUUGUGUGACUUUUAUAAUAUCUUUUAUAUUAUAUGUUAUAAUAGGGAAUAAAGAAAGUAAAAUAACUCCAAAUCAAAUUUUGAGCACUUACCAAUUAUUAAAUCAUUUAAACAGUCAGGAAAUGGAUACUACUGUGUUCUAGAAAUGGGUACCAACUCUCAAAAUGUUUCACAUACUCAUGGAAAUAACAUGGCUUUAAUGGAAGGGCUUAGGGAGUUCUGCUUCAAGCUGGCUGAUCAGAAAAAGGAGAAGCCUCAGAAAGGAAGUGGGAUCUGUACAUGCACCCAGGAAGCACAGCUUUAGUGUCAAUGGAGAAGUUUCGAAUAGCAAAAUUCUCCACUGAACUUGCUGAAAGCACGAGAGGAGAAAGAAGCAUUUGCAGGCCCAGAUGAUACCUAAGAGAGGACUGUGCAUUGCUUUUCAACCUCCACAUGUCAGUACUCAAGGGAUAAGCUGAAUUUUAAAAAUUUACUUUUGUAUUUGUUUCAUUGUAUAUUACUACCUGUUCACUAUAGCUAAUUGGGAAACUUACAAAAAUUAGAAAUAAUAAGAUUCCUCUUUCCCCAAAGUCACCACUAUCCUGAAUUUUAAAACUAGAGCUUACUUUUGCAAUCUUGACACUUUAUUUCACUACCGUCAUAUAGUAUCCUUCUGUGUCUCAGUCCUUUUUCUUUUUUUGACAUUGUUAUGAAGUUCAUCCAUGUUGUUGCAUGGGCUAAGGCUCAUUUUUAUUGCUGAAUAAUGUCAUAUUGUAUGAAUGUACUAAAUAUUCUUAGUCAUCCUUCUGUUGAGGGUAUUUGUGCUGUUUCCAGUUAGGACUUUCACAAAUCAUGGUUUCAUGAACAUUCUUUGUGAUGGCUAAUAUCAGGUGUCAACUUGAUUAGAUUGAGGGAUGCCUAGAUGGCUGGUCAUUGUUUCUGGGUGUGUCUGUGAGGGUGUUGCCAGAGGAGAUUGAUAUUUGAGUCAGUGGACUGGGAGAGGAAGAUCUCAUGCUCCUCAAUGUGAGUGGGAACCAUCCAAUCCAUGGCCAGCAGUCCUCUCUCAGACAAAAACAAAGCAGGUGGAAGAAGGUGGGAUAAGUUGGCUUGCUGAGUCUUCUGGCUUUCAUCUUUCUCCUGUGCUGGAUCGUUUUUGUCCUUGGACAUCAGACUCCAUGUUCUUCCGCCGUUGGACUCUUGGACUUACAGCAGUAGUUUUGCUGGGGGCUUUUGGGCCUUUGGCCACAGACUGAAAACUGCACUGUCAGCUUCUUUGGUUUUGAGGCUUUUGGACUCAGACUGAGGCACUAUUGGCUUCUUUCUUCCCCAGUUUGCAGAAGUCAUAUUGUGGACUUUGCCUUGUGAUCGUGUGAGCCAAUUCUUCCUAAUAAACUCUCUUUCAUAUAUACAUAUAUCCUAUUAGUUCUGUUCCUCCAGAGAACCCUGACUAAUAUACUCAUAGAUAUGCUUUUUGGUACACGAUUUCAAGCAUAUAUUUGGUGUAAACCUAAGAGUGAGAUUGUCACAUCACAGGACUUUCAAAUGCUCAACUUGAAUGGUUAAUGUUGAACUGCUUUCCAAAGAAGUGAGGCCAACUCAUACCCUACCAGUCAUGUUUCUCUGUUUUUUUUUCAAAGAUUUUGGUAGUAUCAGUCUUUGCAAUAUUAGCCAUUUUGUUGAGUAGGUAGUAGUGUGUCAUUUUGGUUUUCACUGGAUUUUGUGAUGACAAAUGAAGUUGAACACUUUUACUUAGCUAUACUUUCAGUUUAGUUUACUUGUAAUUAGUUACAGUGUUUAAUGGCUGUUUGGGUCUCUUCUUUCAUGAAGUGCCUAUUCUUGUCUUUUGCCUAUUGUUUCCUAUUGGCUUGUUUGCAUUUUUGUUAGUGAUUUCUAAAAAGUCUCUAUAUAUUUGGGAUAAGUGGCUGUGACUCAGUUUUAUAACGUAUAAAAUAGAAAUAAUAAUGCUCCCCACAUAUGACAUUGUUAUGAGGAGUGUAUUAGUUAAUACACAGAAAAGCUUCAAGCCAAAUGUGGCACAGAGUAAGUGCUCAGUAUUAUUGUGCUUAGCCGAAAGAACACUGCUAAGAACUGUGGACACAGAAAUCCAAAGAGGCCUUCUAACUUCCAUUCAACACAUUUUGCCUUGCACAACAACUUCUCAGAAGUUCUGAAACUCACUAUACUUGCCCCUAAUUGUGCCCCAGUACUAGCUUUAGUGAGAAGUACUGUGAUAAUUUUGUUACAAUCCCAACACUAUUUUUUAAAAUUGUAUUUUUCCUUGUAGAAGAAGGCAGUUUUCAAGCUGCAAAUUGAUAGGGAAGCACUUAUUCUCACAGGCACUGCAUGGUACAAUUGGCAUUUAGCAUGUUCAUUGCAAAAGUUUUAAAAGAAUAGCACUGCAGCAGGAGAAAGAGGAAGACAACGACAAUAACAACAACAACAAAGCAAAGUAAAAACUACUCCCUGAAUGCAGAAAUAAAAUGUAUUAAAAAUUAAAGGGUGCACAAUGGGAGCAAUUAAGUGUUUUAGGCCAAGUGCCCAUUCUUGCCUCAUCCAAAUUCCCUUGGUUCACUGGCCACAUUUAAGAAAAAAGGGACAAUUUUUAUCUUCUGCCCUAGUGAAAAUUGUUUUGCUCCCAGUAGCCAGACAAUAAAAAUUUCCUAUAAACAAAUAAACACACUUUAAUCACCGUGGUUAUUCUCCUUCUAUCAGUGGAAUUUUCACAGAUAAAGUUUGUUGAGGAGGAUAGAAAAACCACAAUUUAGGCCUUUGAAACCAAAAAUGACAGAAAAAUCUUUCAUUUAUUAUUCCUCGUGGACAAUAGCUCUUAAUAUCUUCCUUCUAGGUUUCUUAAUUAAAUUCAGCUUCUUAUAUUUUUCUCUUGAUUCACCCACUUUCAUUCCCAGAUUAACCUAGAUCUUCAUAACUAUAAUUUCUCAACUGUAAAAUUUCAUUUACCUCAUUUAAAUUUCUGUAGAUUUCUCUCCCCAAGUGGAAAGUUUGAUUAUUCACUCUUUCACCUUUCUCCCCAGGCAAUAAAACUAUGCUGCUUAGACUAGUGCUAACUGAUUUAUAAACAGUCAAAUAAAUUGCAUUAUUCUGUAUAAUUCAUAUAUGUGUGAAUAUAGAGUGACUUUAGAAAGUGACAGUGAUAGUCCUAGCCUGUGAAGAAUGGCCACCAUCUUCAAAGAUCCUUCUGAAGCGUUAUCUUUUCCACACAAUCUCUGAUUUCUUCUUGGGGAAAGGACUAGUUUUCUCUUUCAAAUCCCCCAGCAUGUCUCCAAGGGCAUUAUAGUUGAUUAGUUCAUUUUUUCCUGAUCAUCUGCUCCCUGCAUCUCCAUAGAGGAUGAGACAUACCUGCCUCUUGCUAUAUGACUUUCAGUGGCCCCCUGUGCUUUUCUGUCACUGGUGCCAGGCUUGGCCAAGUGACAUUCUUCAGUCAACGGAAGGGGAGCAGAUUAGUUCCUUCUGAGAGGAAGUUUUCAAAGGCAUUAUAAGUUUUUACCAGCUUCAUUGCUCUUUUCCUGUGCCAAGUUCCUUCGGCUUGGUCCCAAGAAUGAGAAGGCACAUGGAACCAUGGGACCUGAGCUGUGGCCUCCUACAUGUGACAUGAGCAAGAAAGAAAUAUCUGAGGUUUGGGGGUCAUUGGUUACUUCAGCACUUAGCACUUUAUUGAAAUUGUUUGUUUGUUUGUCUUAUUCAAGGUGCAUUCAGGAAAUGCAUCUUCUUCGUUGGAUGUCUGCAUAGUCUGGAGCUUGGCAGUUGGUGGGAGCUAAUAAAUGUUUGUGGAAUAAGUGAAUGAUUCAAUGAAGAUCUCCAAUGAGAAGCAUCUAUUAUCUGCCAUGGCAAUUGUGCUGACUGGAGAAUGUUUCUUACCCUGAGCAGAAAUUGAAUCCUCCUGUACUUCCACUAUGGGUUUUAGUUAUAUCCCUUAGGCUCCUAUAAAACCGUCUAAUUCCUCAUCCAUAUGACAGCCCUCUAAUGCCUGAAAGCAGUGCUACUAUUCAUCUUAGGAUUUUAUCUUUGCAGAAUAGGUAUUCCCAGUCCUUAUCCAUUUUGGUAUCUCCCAUGGUUUUAAUGUCCUUGGUUUCCUGGGGGUCCUCUUUGCAGGUGCUCUUGAUGCAUGUCUCUCUUAGCACAUGGGAUCUGCAAUUAGCAUCAUUAUCCAUGUGUGGUCAGAGUAGCACAGGGUGAGGAAAGAGUGUCUCCUCCCUCUGUCUAGACAAAUUAUACUGAGUCUAACACAGCCUCCAGUUGCCUUCACUGGUCUUGGCAGCCCCAUCAUGCUGCUGACCCAUGUGGAGUCAACCAAAUCCCUUAAGUCUUUUCCAGGAGCCUUUAUUGUCAAGCUCUGCCUCAACUUGUGCAGGUGGUUUGGGGAAUCCAAAUGUAGAUCUUUAUACUUUUCCCUGUUUGCCUACUCCCCUCAUUUCAUCUAGUUACUGAUUUCUGUCUACAGUAUUUUGGGAAAUGAAGGCUUUGGUUUCUGGGAAAGGAAAUGCAGCAGGUAGUCCACACAAAGGAGAAACAACUGUGUCUUGUUAAUCCUGGUAUGGCUAGAGAGCUCCAUUUUCAGGUUCUGCAAUGUAUACUUCACUAUGUGAGGUAGCUCAUUUCUAGUACUGUACUGUCUUUGCUUGGUUUCUCAGGGGGAAUAGAAGAGUAGCAUCAAUAGCACACACCAACAAGAAGCUCUAUGUGUGACAUAUAGACUGACUGUAAGGUGUUCCCCAUAACCCCUGCUUCCCGGUAAUCAUGCUCUUUGAUUAUCCCCUUGGCUUGAGUAUAGACAUGUCCUGUAACUUGCUUCUAUCCAAUGGAAUAUGGCAAAGCCAAUGGGAUAUAUGUGAUUGCAUGUACAUAAUUAUAUUUGGUGUGAUUGUAACAUUGCUUCCUUGCUGGCUGUGAGGAGCAAGGUUCUAGGCUGUGAUCUGUUCCCUGGGAAGAGGCCACAUAGUCAGAAACUGAGGGCAACUUCUAGCUGACAGCUAGCAAGAAGCUAAGGCCCUCAACCUGACAGCUUGCCAGAAACAGGAUGCUAUCAACAACCAAAUGGGCCUGGAAAAUGAUGCUUUCCCAGUCCACCCUUGAAGUGAGGUUGCAGCACUGGCUGAUGCCUUGAUUGCAGCUUCCAGAUGAGACUCUGAGGCAGAUGAUUCAACAAAGCCAGGCCCGACUCCUGAUCCAUGGAAACUGUGAUAUA